rnacentral:rRNA from 1 species
UACGGGGGGAGCAAGCGUUGUUCGGAUUUACUGGGCGUAAAGGGCGCGUAGGCGGCCUCCGCAAGUCAGUUGUGAAAUCUCCGAGCUUAACUCGGAAAGGUCAACUGAUACUGCGGGGCUAGAGUGCGGAAGGGGCAACUGGAAUUCUUGGUGUAGCGGUGAAAUGCGUAGAUAUCAAGAGGAACACCUGCGGCGAAGGCGGGUUGCUGGGCCGACACUGACGCUGAGGCGCGAAGGCAUGGGUAGCGAACGGG